rnacentral:rRNA from 1 species
GCACUAUACCCUUUGUGACAUACCUAUAACUGUUGCUUCGGCGGGUAGGGUCUCCGCGACCCUCCCGGCCUCCCGCCUCCGGGCGGGUCGGCGCCCGCCGGAGGAUAACCAAACUCUGAUUUAACGACGUUUCUUCUGAGUGGUACAAGCAAAUAAUCAAAACUUUUAACAACGGAUCUCUUGGUUCUGGCAUCGAUGAAGAACGCAGCGAAAUGCGAUAAGUAAUGUGAAUUGCAGAAUUCAGUGAAUCAUCGAAUCUUUGAACGCACAUUGCGCCCGCCAGCAUUCUGGCGGGCAUGCCUGUUCGAGCGUCAUUUCAACCCUCAAGCUCUGCUUGGUGUUGGGGCCCUACAGCUGAUGUAGGCCCUCAAAGGUAGUGGCGGACCCUCCCGGAGCCUCCUUUGCGUAGUAACUUUACGUCUCGCACUGGGAUCCGGAGGGACUCUUGCCGUAAAACCCCCCAAUUUUCCAAAGGUUGACCUCGGAUCAGGUAGGAAUACCCGCUGAACUUAAGCAUAUCAAUAA